GACGAACGCUGGCGGCGUGCUUAACACAUGCAAGUCGAACGGUGAAGGGGUCUGCUUUUGUGGGCCCUGGAUGAGUGGCGAACGGGUGAGUAACACGUGAGUAACCUGCCCCCUUCUUCUGGAUAACCGCAUGAAAGUGUGGCUAAUACGGGAUAUUCUGGGUCUGUCGCAUGAUGGGUCUGGGAAAGAUUGCGCCUUUGGGUGUUUUUGGUGGGGGAUGGGCUCGCGGCCUAUCAGCUUGUUGGUGGGGUGAUGGCCUACCAAGGCGGGGACGGGUAGCCGGGCUGGGAGGGUGGACGGUGACACUGGGACUGAGACACGGCCCAGACUGCUACGGGAGGCAGCAGUGGGGAAUAGUGCACAAUGGGCGCAAGCCUGAUGCAGCGACGCCGCGUGAGGGAUGGAGGCCUUCGGGUUGUAAACCUCUUUCGCCAGUGAAGCAGGCCUGCUCCUUGUGGGUGGGUUGACGGUAGCUGGAUAAGAAGCGCCGGCUAACUACGUG
rnacentral:rRNA from 1 species